CUACCUGGGCAUUGUGUAAGUCAGGAAGUCAUGCUCAUACGCUACCGGCGGCGUACUCCGGCGCCAGACUACGCUGCGUAUGUCGCCGACGAAGCAAAACUGUAAACCCUAAGUUAAUUUUCUCCAUGUAUCUGCGUCUUUCCUCCAUUAACUGUUUUGUGACAAUGUCAGAUUUUCUUUCAAUUCUUGCCUGCAUUCCUUUUAAGAAAAAUCAAGAACUUAUCCAUCUUUUUGAAGUUACACCUGUAUUCUUAAGGCAUAUUUACAGGAAAUAAUGAAAUUGUUAUUUUCAAGAAUAUAUUGACAUUGCAAAUAUAAAGAAAUUCAAGAAAACUUUCUUUCUCCAAAAAAUUCUGUUGUUUUUCUCGUAGUGUGUGUUGAAGAUGUUCUAGAAUUUGUUUUUGAGUCUGUUUAUCUUGUAUGAUUUCAGAAGGGUUGUUGAGGAGUUGGUUUCAACAGCCGUAGGAAUUGAAUGUUGUGGAGUUGUUCUUGAAGAACUCACACAACUUUUAAAGAUAGUGUAUCGAUGUUCUUGAUGCUGACAUCAUCUUUUCUAUUGUGUUGAUGCCGAUGUACAUAAUUUCUUUGCCCAACAACUAUGAUGUACAUAACUUGGAAUGGUCGUUGUAGUCAUAGUAUUGCAUGCAUUACUCAACUAAUAGGCCGUUCUGGCGGUUUGCCCAAUGAGGGUUUUGCUUUCUCUGAAAGAGUCUCUGCUAAGAAUCUCCCUUGUGCGUCCCACUGUCUCCUUCGAAAUUGUUGACAUUGAAAGGCCUGUCUCUGUUAUACUAGCUAAUUUAAGGAUAUGGCCCAUCUGGUUUCUUUGAUUUUGUAAAUUUAUGUGCAGUGAGGAUGAACGACUUUGCACACAUGCUUCUCCUUCUCUCCGUUGCCGCUAUUGUACACUGGGAUUCCUCUGAGUUCCCUUAACAAAUUGAAUUCAACAGGUGGUUCAUUCAAGCUCAUGGCAGGUCUUGAUGUUUACAUAAUGAAUGUAUACGGGCCCAAAUUAAUGGAUUAGAGAUGUGAUAAGUUAUCUUUUUUUACAUUUUGUUUCUUUAACAACCACUAUUUAAUCUUAAGAUUUGGUUAACAUUUACUAUAAUCUGGAGACCAUGUUCUCAGGGUACCAUGUGUCUUUUCAGUAAUGUGUAAAACGAUGUUAUUCUUUUCUUUACAUUUGCCAUCUAGUUAUACAAUUAGUUGUUGUGAAGUAGGUGAAAGUACAAGGCACAAUAAGUAUAUGAAUAUAUGUGAUGCAGGUCAGUAGUAUUGUUUUUUUUUAGUGUUGUAAUGUAAUAUUGUGUCGGUGAUCAAGAACGUAUUUCAAGUCAAAGAUUCUAAAUCUGCAUAACUGUAAGUACUUCCUUUCCUCCAACCUCACUGCAUUGUCUGUUUCUUCAUCUGAAGCCGUUCUAGAGGACAUCUCCUAUUGAUAUUACCAAGUGGCUAAACUAUAUCUAUUCUCAGAUUUGUCACCCAGAGCUUUGUAAGUGAGAGGCACUGUUGUAGAUAUGAUGUUCAACGCUUUCUUUUCUUUAAAGUUGUCCCUCUCAUCUCAGGGUGAGGCAAGGAAUUGUUUCAAAUGUUCGUUGUUCAAUUUCUCGGCUGCUCAAGAAGUUUGACUAGUUGCUCCUCCGACCCGGAGUGGAUUUGAUCACUUCUGUAUGUAGGCAUGUUUUGAUUAUUUGUUCUUGCUGAAGUUGAGCUGGAACAUACAUAUUCAUGCUUAGUGACAUCAAAAUACUGCCAUUCAGAUGUUAUGCAUGCUUUCCCAGCAAGCUUUGGCUUGAAAGGAGAGGCUCUGAGCUGAGCUGACCUUUCUUUGUUGAAAAUUGUUACUAAAAGGUUUGAAGGGUGGACGGGGACUUGGAUAAAUGGAUUGAUACUGGAAAUUAAGCACAAGAAGUUCUUUUGCCACAAUUUAGUCUGCAAGAAGGAAGCAGGAAAUAAUAAUAUUAAGACUGUUAAUGAUGUGCCACUCUUGUCAGAAACUAGAGCUGCAUGGGGACUGCAUCAUUCUGUAGAAACUAUCUGGUCGGAGCUUCCAUGGCAGUCCCAUCAUGUGAGCAGUCUUCCACCCUAAGUUGUGGUGAUGGCGUAUUUUCUGAUUGACUGUAAUGUUAUCAAAUUUCUUGGGAGGGCCAAGUGCGAAAAUAAAACUUGUUAACAUCUGAAAUAACAAAUUACAAGGUAAAGGGGAGUGCACAAGUCCACAUGAUGGGGAAUCAAAAUAAGGCCAUGUAGUCUCUUUCAAAUUCUGUCUUUGCUAUGUAUGGAUGGAUGAGAACGACAGUAAGUUUUAGUUUCUUUGACAUUGAUUUAAUGCAUUUUGAUGUGCACAAAGUCGUGCUCAUUAUUUUACGUCCUCACCUGAAGUUGUGUACUUUCUCUGAAGGAUCAUCUGAAGUUGUACCUUCUUUUGAAAGAUCAUCUGAACUUGUCCCUUCUUUUGAAGGAUAAACUGAAGUCGUACAUAUCUUCUUUUGGAUGGUCAUCUGAAAUUGUAAUUUUCUUUGAAGGAUCAUCCGCAGUUGUACUUUCUUUUGAAGGAUCAUCUGAAGUUGUACUUCCUUUUGAAGGAUCAUCUGAAGUUGGAUCAGGAGUUUGAACAAUUUUCUGACAUUGAACAGCGAAGUAGAUCUCAUAUAUAUUCACUUUUUUUUGUUGAACCUAAACUUCCCAGGAUAAGUUUAUAUGAUUUGACUUUGGGGUCUUCAAAGAAUUAUGUGGAACAUAGGUGUGAUAGUUGUUGGCAUUUUUGACUUAGACUCCUGUUUUAUGCUUACCCUAUCAUUUCUGCUCCCCUUUAAAUGAAUUUUGCAGGUUUUUUUUUUUUACGAAUCUACAUCAAUUUUUGUAAAUCUAGAUAUUUGCUGCAUCAAUCAUCUUGGGAGCCUUGCUAUCUUUCCGAGAUAGUGACAUUCAGCUGUAUAUUGAUUUUUUAGUAGGGUCAGGGUAGAGGGGUGGCUCAUUUUCUCAGGAGUUUGAAACUUGCAGGUCAAUCUCGGUCAUCUAAUUCAAAUAAAAAAAAAAUUGUUUUUCAGAAUUAGUAGAAACCUACCAAAAAAUUUAGGUUGAUCUUCAUUUUCCUCAGCGAUGGAGGUUGGAAAUGCAGCUUUGACACUUUUGAUCUUUGCAUUAUUCUAGAGAGUAGUGUAUGCUGUCUGGCCAUUUUAACUAGUUUCGUGUGCUUGCUUUACACCAGCUACAUCAAAAUACAACCAUUAAGAUUAAUUGCAUGCUUUCCCAGCAAGUUUUGGCUUUAAAUGAGAGGCUCUAAGCUCUAUUUCUGACGUUUCUUUGUUGACAAUUGUUACUAAAACUCAUGGGAAUCCAAAUGGAUAUUGUAAGAUUUCAGGUAAAGUUCUUUUGAGUUUUAGUUUGUAGGAUCCAUUAGGAUAGGUGUGAAACUACUUACUUGGCCGUCUUAGUUUUUGCCAAUAUUUACAGGACGACAAGCGUUUAUUCCUUGGAAUUGAUGAUUGUAGACAAGAUGUUGGUAGAAUAGGUAAUUAUGUAUAAGCCUACAUAAUACAAGUGUUGACUAUUGUUUGCUAAUAAGGUAAUUUCUUGGGAUUUUUCUCUUUGUAAUCAUUGUUCGUGAUGUAUUUUACAACCAACCAGUUUAUAGGAAGCAAAUGCACUCCAAGUACUUCUAGUUUUCUCACAAUUCAAACAAAUAAAUAUUGAUCUACUUCUACUCUGUCCUGAUUGAUCUUUUGGUUUCCAUAUAUAAUUUGGAAGACGAAUGAAGGUGUUACAUUCUCUGAAAUAGUCUUUGCUAAGAAUUUCCCUUGUGCUUCCCAGUGUCUCCUUCAAAAUUGUUAAUAUUGAAAGGUCAGUCUCUGUUAUACCAGCUAAUUUAAGGAUAUUUCCUUCUGGUUCCUUCGAUUUUGUAAGUUUGAGUGCAGUGAGGAUGAUAUACUUUGCACAUGUGCUUCUCCUUCUCUGAUGCUGCUAUUGUCCAGUGGGGUUUGGCAUUCCUCUGAGUUCCCUUAACAAACUGAAUUGAAGUGAUUGUCCAUUCAAGCUCUCAGGAUACCUUCUCAGGUCCUAACUACAGGCCCAAAUUAAUGGAUAAGGGAUGUGAUAAGUUAUCUUUUCUACACUUUGUUUCUGUAACGACCUGUUAAGCUUUGCAGGUCCUUCAGUAUUUCCGCGUCCACUUAUUUCAGUAUGUUGUUCUGUCAAAAGAAAUCGGAAGACUUAUAUUUGGUUGACAUUUACUAUAUCGUAUCUUUGUUUUGCACACUGUUAUUGUUUUCCUUGACCUUUGUAUAAAGGAAAUUCCACUUUAUAUGAUAGCCAAGCUUACUCUUUAGUACCCCGACUUAAUCUUAUGUACUCUUGUGAUGUUUGACGGAGUCAUCUGUUAAUAGGGGGAGGCUGCUGUUUUAUUUCCAGACGGAUUUGGUGAUAGACGUGUGGAGGGUAAAUACUUGCUGCCAAAUAUGCCCGUGAAAACAGGAUUCCUUACCCGGGCAUAUGUCUAGGCAUGCAAAUUGCUGUGAUCGAGUAUGCUACAUCCAUUCUUGGGUUUCAAUAUGCGAACAGUACAGAGUUUGAUACCAACACUCACAAUCUUUGUGUAAUUUUUAUGCGGAAAUUAAGGUUCAAAAGCGCAUAUGGGUGGUAGCAUGCGUCUUGGAUCAAGAAGAACAUAUUUUUUUGAUGAAGUAUGGUGAUUUCAUUAGAAGGCAUCAAGAAGAUGCAAGAGACUCAAGAGCUUUUAUGAUACUUUUUUAUGUACCCUUUGUUUCAAAAGGUAUCAACUUGCCUCCUUCAGAUAUACCUGUGAAUUGUGAGAUUAAAAAAAAUAGGCGCAGGGCCCAGAGUUGGAAUGCUACACUGGAGAGUGCACUGUCAGGAGAGAGAUUGGAUCUUUGCAGAAUAUUCUGUGGGGAAGUGCUUCUGAAAAGCGUGAUCCCUGUGUCAGAUUCCUCAGUCAGAUAGAAAGUUCAAGUCGGUCAAUUGAUGGAUAUCUUUAUUGCACAAUUAUUCAUUUUCAAGGCUAUUUUGUUUAUUUCUGUAGAUACUUUCUUAAACUUUAUAUCUUCAUCACUUUCAAAGAUGAUCCAUCAUAAAGAUGUGGAGGUUUUGUCUUCCGUGGAAGUUCAAUAAGAGACUUGUUUUCUCUCGAGCUGAUUAAAUUGUUGCUUAGCAUUGCACCUCAGGUGGGUCUGUGAGAUUUUGGAAUUAUAUUUUAAUUUCAUGGCGUUUCUUCUCCAUCUCAUAAGGCUAACUGAUGCAUGCAGCCACGAUGGGUUUCAAUGCUUUUGGUGAAAUUAUAUAUGACCUUCCACAUCUCUUAUUUUUACUACUCUCUUUGGUAUAACUCAUAAUGGCUAUCUAACAUGUUUCUCUUUUGGACUGAAAAACUGCUACUUGGCAGGGCAUCCCUAGUGGGUCUUUGAGAUUUUGGAGAAAGUUCCAUUUCAUGGUGUUUCUUCUCUGUCUCAUUAGGCUAACUGGUGCUUGCUCCCAUGGUUGGUUCCUAACUUUUGAGCUGAUUCGUGUUUUGACUUGGCAAAGUUCAGCUUCUUUCCCACCCCUCAUUGAACCACCCUUUUCGUGAUAUUAUUAAUGCACUCCCUCUUCUCUUAUUUUUUGUCACCCACUCUGUUUUAUACACACUGAAGAGUUGGAAGUUCUCAUUCCUCGAUAUUCAAUCAAACAUGUUGCCUGUCCAGCUAAAGAACUGUUGCUAGGCGCGACCCUUCAGGGCAAGUGUUUGUACCCUGGAAGUGGUGAUUGUAGACCGAUGUUGGUACAACAGGGCAAGCGUUUGUACCUUGGAGUGGUGAUUGUAGACCGGUGAUUGUUCAACAGGGCAAGUGUUUGUACCUUGGAAUUGAUGAUUGUAGACCGAUGUUGGUACAACAGCAACAACUUACUCAAAGAUGGAGACAAAUUAUAGUUGUUUAUACUUCAAGCCCACUCUAUGAGAUCAUUGCUAUAUGGAAUCCAUUCAGCGUUAAGGUAUAACUCAAUAUGACAAUCUAACAUGUUCUCUCUUGAGCUAAAAAACUGUUGCAUGGCAUGGCAUCUCAACUGGGUUCCUAAGCUUUUGAGCUGAUUCGUUUUUUGACUUGGGCACUUGGCAAAGUUCUGUUUCUUUCCUGUCCCUCACCGGACCACCCUUUUCAUGAUAUUUUACGUGCACUCCAUCUUUUCUUAUUCUUAUUGCUCACUCUGCUCCGUUUAUACACAAUGAAGAUUUGAAGAUUUUCAUCCUUCGAUGAUCAGUUGAACAUGUUGCCUGUCGAGCUAAAAAACUCAAGCAACAGAACUUCAGGCGGGUCUAUGAGAUUUUGGUCAAAGUUCCAUUUUUGGUCUUUCUUCUCUGUCUCAUUGGCAAACUGAUGCUUGCACAGCCAUGCUGGUUUCCAAAGCUUUUGAGCUAAUCGUUUUGACGCUGCAAAGUUCAAUCUUUUUAUACAUUCAAAAAGUUUACAUGUAAGCCAUUUGCAAAUCAGUCUUACAAGGGAAAGGUAAUAUAGUAUUGAUUGUAGUUGUUAAUACAAGAUUAGGAAAUGACAUCAACUAUUGGACAUAAGAAUUGGGAUUAGGAUUCAUUGGGAAUAAAGCUACACUGUAUAGUGAAUACAUAAGGGCUGGGAGAAAUUGCUCACCUACAUUCCAAACCUUUUACUACACUCCAGAGCUUAUUCUCUUUAGCAUUCCUGUUCCUCCCUCUGAAAGAUAUAUGCCUGUCUAAGUGGAGAAAACAAAGCAUGACAAGCACUUCUUCUCAGUCUAGUUAUUCCAUUCUGAGGUGUCAAUACACAGUUUAUAUCAGUUCGAUGCUCCUUCUUGUUGAAAGCACACUAACUAACAAGAUUCUUUUGCAUGUGUUUUAUAAGAAAAUGGUUGUUUUCUUGAUAAUACAGGUUCUGUAUAUUUUGGGUGUUAGUCUAGAUGUGGAUCUGUUAGAAUUCCUUCAACAGGUUAGUCCAUCUAAACAUAUUAGUUCUCAUUUUUCACGCAUUCAUUUGAUUAAAUAUAAUCUUUCUCAUGUGGAAUCUUGCUUUUAUGUUCUUGCUUAAAUGUGAAUAAACUCCCCUGUCUUAAUGUUACUGCCUUCGAUUGAUGCCUUCCUUUAACUUAUUCCUCCCUCUCAUUUUUUCUUUUGAUUACAUCAAACAAGAACUGGAGGAUAUGAAUCCGAAGGCUUCAAGCGAAUUUUUUAAAGAUGGUGCUUUUAUAUGUCUUUCCCCUUUAAACGUCAUCUUUAGGCAUACUUUUGGUAUUCUCUUCUAUUAGUUUUCCAUUUCAAUUUCCCUUGCAUCAACAGCUUAUUCAAAGAUGAAGACAAACGUAUAGUUGUUUAUACUAUAAGCCACUCUAUGAGAUCAUUGCUACAUGGAAUCCAUUCAGCGCCAAGUUAAGGUUAACUACUAUGGGUGGCAUUUGUUUACAGUUUUAAAAAUUGACUUUUCUAACUUAAGAGUCUGAUUGUUUGCGUAAAUCCGAAAUGGUGAUUGGUUUACCUUACUUUUCUAUUUUCUAAUUCAGAUUAUGUAAUGGCAAGUUCCUACAAUUUUUCAGACCAAAAAGGCAACUUCAUUUGUUCAAAUUGAAGUAAUCUUUACAAAAAAUGUAUGUAUAAAUAUAAAACGAACAAGCAAGGUGAUUUUUGAUGAUGUUGAAAGUCGAUGCUAUUUAUGUGUCUGUUUGGUUUAAAUUCACGUGUUUUUGGAAGUUUUCGAGCUUAGAUGAUAUUUGCUUUAUUAAAAGGUAGCAAAAUCUAGCAGUUACUAUGCUUUUCAUUAGGAGCCUAAAAGGAUUUAGCUUCUUUGUAGAAAAAGGAAAUGCGGUCUUACCUUUCCUAGUUUUAUUGAUAAAUAUUAUUGUUUCGUAUUUGAUGAAUGUAGAGGUUCAAGAAAUAUUGUUAUACCUUCUCUGUUUAUCCGUAUUUAAAUCACUAUAUUGCAUUUAUGAUCGUUAUGUUCUCAUCUAUUGAAAUGUAUUACCUCCCCUAACUGAGAAUUUAUUUAUUAUGUUAUUAUUUAAGUUAUUGACAUAGAAUGUCCUCUCCAGGUUGAAUGCAAUAUGGAUUAUUUGUACAUGUAUGGAGAAAUCCUCAGCAUUCUCUUACCUUGAAUGAAAACUGGUGCUGUAGAAAUUUCAUAAAUUGGUGAUUUUAUGAAGUUUAUAUUGCAAACACAUUUCUUUUGAUAAAUAUACUAUUGGUAAUUGCAAAAUGAUGUAGACUCACACUUAGUCCUGAAUACAGAUCUUUACAUAUAUAAAUUAUAUUACUAACAUAUCUACUUUGUUCCUCUCGCGUAUCUCUUUAUAGAAGCAAGUCUUUGGUUGGUAUUUCGUGAACACAUACUUUCUAUGUUGGAAUAAAAUGAAAGUAUUAAAGAUUUAUAACUUCAAAGGUUGUAGGGGUUUGAUUUUCUUCAAGUGUGUCCACUUAUUUCAGUAUGUUGUUCUGGCAAAAGAAAUCGGAAGACUUAUAUUUGGUUGACAAUUUACUAUAUCGUUAUCUUUGUUUUGCACAGUGUUUUUGUUUUCAUUGACCUUUGUAUAAAGGAAAUUCGACUUUAUAUGAUAGCGAAGCUUACUCUUUAGUACCCCUACUUAAUCUUAUGUACUCUUGUGAUGUUUGACCGAGUCAUCUGUUAAUAGGGGGAGGCCGCUGUUUAUUUCCAGACGGAUUUGGUGAUAGACGUAUGGAGGGUAAAUGCUUGCUGCCAAAUAUGCCCUGAAAACAGGAUUCCUUACCUGGGCAUAUGUCUAGGCAUGCAAAUUGCUGGGAUCGGGUAUGCUAGAUUCAUUCUUGGGUUGCAAGAUGCGAACAGUACAGAGUUUGAUACCAACACCCACAGUCUUUGUGUAAUUUUUAUGCCGGAAAUUAAGUUCUGAUACUUUCCCUUCAUCACGAAUUUCCCUCAUGAUCUUCAUGUGUUUUAGGUCUCAUUUUAGCAGCGGCUAUAUUAAUCUGUAGACCAGGUUCACAGGGUUCAAAAGCGCAUAUGGGUGGUAGCAUGUGUCUUGGAUCAAGAAGAACAUUUUUUUUUUAAUGAAGUAAGGUGAUUUCAUUAGAAGGCAUCAAGAAGAUGUGAGGUAAAAUAUUACAGCAAAAAGAAGGGGUCUGCUCCUGUACAAGAAUUUACUCAAUAAUUAAAGAACAGACAAAACCAAAUUAAGAUCAAUAGUGGUCACAGGGCCUGGUUGAACCAACCAUAUAAGUAGACUAAACAGUUGGAUUUGAAAUCCCAUCUAAACAUCUACGAUUCCUUUCAUCCCAGAUGCACUAAAAGAUAGCAGCAGGCACCAUACCCCAUGUUUUUUUGAUGGGUUUCCAACUCUCCACGAACACUAGCUCUCAUAGGCUUCUUUAAUACUAUUUGGCAUGACCCAGGUAAUUCCAAAAAAUGAGAAGAAUAUACUCCAUAUGACUGCUGCUAAUUUACAGUACAAAAAUAGAUGCCUUCCAAAAACUGAUAAGAACGUGUUUUCAAGUCAAAGGUUCUAAAUCCGCAAAACUCUAAGUACUUCCUUUCCUCUAACCUCACUGCAUUGACUGUAUCUUGAUCUGAAGCCAUUCUGGAGAACUUCUCCUAUUGAUAUUACCAAGUGGCAGCACUACAUCUUUUCUCAGAUUUGGCACCCGGAGCUUUGUAGGUGAGAGGCACCAUCAUAGAUAUGAUGUUCAACACUUUCUUUUUCUUUUGCAUGGUCUACAUGUCUUUUCUUCUUUGAAAUGAACAUGGUCUAGAAUUUUUGGUUUAGAAUGUUUGUUAAAAGUUGAAAAUCGUGUCAAGUAAGAGUAUGGGAAAUUAUAUGUUUUCUGAUUUUGUUAAUGUUUUGAGGAUCAAUAGUGAUGGGCUGCAGAGAAUAUGGCAAGUUGUGCUUUUAUGCAAGUUUAAUCGCUUAGACUAGUUUCACAAAAGACAGCAGUGAAACUUCUCAAUGAAUUCUUAUGUUCCUUUGUUUGCUACUUCUGAUUACAAGGGCAUAUGCUAUAUAUAAAAAUUGAUAUACCUUUUUACUCCUAGUAUGAUGCUCCAUUCUAGUAUCACAAGUAUUUUUUUUUUCCAAAUGAAUAUUCUUAUAUCACAGCACUUUCUUUUUUUUCCGUGAUAUUUACUUUCUUGUAAGACUGUUCUUUUUCUGUGAUAUGUUUGUUAUUAUAUGUUGAAUUGUGAACAUCUUUCCUCUAAGGCGUGCACAGUUUGCUUACAUGCCAUCUUAGGCACAUCUCUCUUUCUUAGUUUCACGCUGGACUAAUGUAUGAUUUCAGCAAGAGCAGCCAGACGGACUACUAUAGUGAGUCUAGCGUCUACUAGAGUAGAGUUAACUGAAAAGGUAUAGCAGCCUUUCCGAGCGAGCCUCUGGGAUCUCCUGCUAUAGGCAUUAGGACCUGCUAUGUUAUAAGGUUGAUGACAAUGGUAAGUAUUAGUUUCUUUGACAUUGAUCUGAUGCAUUUGAUCUGCAGUAAGUUCUGCUCAAUUUAUUAUAGUAGUUCAUCAUUUGAAGUAGUACAUAAUUUUUUUUGCCCAACAAAUAUGAUGUUCAUAACUUGGGAUUGUUGUCUUCAAUAUAAUUUGUUGUUUUACUUGUAAUUGGGAAAACUGGUAUGCUGUCUGGCCUUUUAACUGUAGUUUUGUAUGCUUGCUUUACACCAGCUACAUCAAAAUACAGCCAUUAAGAUUAAUUGCAUGUUUUUCCAACAAGUUUGGGUUUUAAAUAAGAGGGGCUCUGAGCUCUAUUGCUGCCGUUUCUUUGUUGGAAGCUAAAUGGAUAUUGUAAGUUUUUCAGGUGAAGUUCUUUUGAGUUUUAGGUUGUAGUAUCCAUUAGGAUAGGUGUAAAACUAGUUACUUGGUCUUUGUUCUUGCCAAUGUUUACCAGAGGACAAGCGUUUAUUCCUUGGAAUUGAUGAUUGUGGACAAAAUGUUGGUAGAAUAGGUAAUUCUGUAUAAGCCUACCUGAUACAAGUGUUGACUACUGCUUGCUAAUAAGGUAAUUUCUUGGGAUUUUCCUCUUUGUAGUCAUUGUUCGUGAUGUAUUUUACUACCAAUCAGUUUGAAGGAAGCAAAUGCACUCCAAGUCUUUCUAGUUUUCUCACAAUUCAAACAAAUAAAUAUUGAUUUACUUACUUUACUCCUAAAGAUCUACAUUGUUCUGAUUGAUCUUUUGGUUUCCAUAUAUAACCUGGAAGCUGUAUGAAGGUCUUACAUUCUCUGAAAUAGUCUUUGCUAAGAAUUUCUCUUGUGCUUCCCAGUAUCUCCAUCUAAAUUGUUGAUAUUGAAAUGUUAACAACCUGUUUGAAUUUGCAGGUCCUUCAUUAUUUCUACGUCCACUUAUUUAGUAUGUUGUCCUGGCAAAAAAAAAAACAGAAGACUUAUAUUUGGUUGACAAUUUACUAUAUCGUUAUCUUUGUUUUGCACAGUGUUUUUGUUUUCAUUGACAUUCGUAUAAAGGAAAUUCGACUUUGUAUGAUGGCGAAGCUUACUCUUUAGUACCUACUUAAUCUUAUGUACUCUUGUGAUGUUUGACCGAGUCAUCUGUUAAUAGGGGGAGGCUGUUGUCUUAUUUCCAGACGGAUUUGAUGAUAGACGUGUGUAGGGUAAAUACUUCUUGCCAAAUAUGCCCUGAAAACAGGAUUCCUUACCGGGGCAUAUGUCUAGGCAUGCAAAUUGCUGUGAUCGAGUUUGCUAGAUCCAUUCUUGGGUUGCAAGAUGCGAACUGUACAGAGUUUGAUACCAACAUUCACAAUCCUUGUGUGAUUUUUAUGUCGGAAAUUAAGUUAUGAUACUUCCCUUUUAUCAUGAAUUUCCCUCAUGCUCUUCAUGUGUUUUAGGUUUCAUUUUAGUAACGGCUAUAAUAAUCUGUAGACCAUGUUCACAGGGUUCUAAAGCGCAUAUGGGUGGUAGCAUAUGUCUUGGAUCAAGAAGAACGUAUUUUUUUGUGAAGUAAGGUGAUAUCAUUAGAAGGCAUCAAGAAGAUGCUCUGUAAAAAAUUACAGCAAAAAGAAGGGGUCUGCACCUGUGCAAGAAUUUACUCAAUAACUAAUAAACAGACAACCAAAAAAAGAUCAACAGUGGUCACAGGGCCUGGUUGAAUCAACUAUAUAAGUAGACUAAACAGUUGGAUUUAAGAAUGUGGUUAGGAAUUGAAAUCCCAUCAAAAUAUCUACAAUUCCUUUCAUCCCAGAUACACUAAAAGAUAGCAGCAGGCACCAUGUGCCAUGUUUUAUGAUGGUUUUCCCAACUCUUCACUGACACCAGCUCUCAUAGGCUUCUUUAAUGCUAUUUGGCAUGACCCAGGUAAUUCCAAAAACUGAUAAGAACAUACUCCAUAUGACUGCUGCUACUUUAUAGUGCAAAAAUAGAUGCCGUCCGAAAACUGAUUAUUAGUUUCCGAGCGAGCCUCUGGGAUCUCCUGCUAUAGGCAUUUGAUGACAAUGGUAAGUAUUAGUUUCUUUGACAUUGAUCUAAUGCAUUUGAUGUGCAGAAAGUUCUGUUCAAUUUAUUAUAUUAGUUCGUCGUCUGAAGUUGUACUUUCUUUUGAAGGAUCAUUUGAAUUCUUACCUUCUUUUAAAAGAUCAUCUGAAGUUGUACUUUCUUUUGAAGGAUCAUCUAACUUUCUCUUGAAUGAUCAUCUAAAGUUGUACUUUCUUUUGCAGAAUCAUCUGAAUUUGCACUUUCUUUUGAAGGAUCAUCUGAAGUUGUACUUUCUUUUGAAGGAUCUGCAGUUUCACGAGAUGGACUGGUGGUGAUGGAUGGGAAAAGGAAAUGGUGGUCUUUUUUUCACAAAAUGUUGAUCUGACAUCAUCUUUUCUAUUUUACUGAUACUGCUGUGCAUAAUUUCCUUUGCCUGACAAAUAUGAUGUUUGAAUGAUUGUUCAUUGUUGUAGUCCUAUAGGAUUGCAUACAUCACUCAAUUGGUAGGUUGUAUGACGGUUUGUGUUCAUUAGUAUCUUUUCAUAGGUGUUGUUUUAUUUAUGGUUUUGCAGUUUUAUUUGUAAUUGGGCAAAUUUGUAGUACAAGCAAAAAAUAUUGAUGCUUACACUUCUUAUUUGUUCCAACUGAAGUUGAGUUGGAACAUACAUAUUUGUGCUUAGGUACUUUUAGCCCAACUUAUGGAGACAACAUAUGUGCCUGUUUCUUUCAUCUUCUAUUAUGCUUCCUUUUUGACUGGCCACUUCAAUGAACUAUUGUUUCGUCUACUUCCUUUGCACCAGCGACAUGAAAAGGCAAUGCUUUUGUUUGUGAUAAUUCCUCGAAUAAAUACCAUAUCUUGAUACUGUUCUUGUUCUUGACUUUCUUGGAAGGCAUUAAAAGAUAGCAAUUACGAUGACAGUGUGGAAGUGUUGUUAGCAGCUGAGUUAGGUAUGGAUUGUACCGACUUUUUUGGGGGGUAUUUAUAAUAGUUCCAAAUCCCAAUCAUUGCUUGAAGAAGCCUUAACAGGCAAUACAUUCGUUCCACCUCUUUUGGUUCUUGUUGUUCUGGAAAGGCGUUAAAAGAUGUUGCUGAAGCCAAUGUAGGCUUUUGUUUCUCCUUGAUCUCUUCUUGUUGCCUUUGUGUAGCAUUUCAGAGUGGUAAGUAGUGCUCUUCUACCUUCUUUUCUUUACAAAUUAUUUAGGUGCACAUAUUGUACGUUUAUAUAUAUAUAUAUAUAUAUAUAUAUAUAUUGUGUGUUUUAUGAUGAUUAAAAAAUAUAUACUUUUGUGUAGAAUGGUUGAAAGUUUGAAACGGAUCACUUCGACUACAAAUUCAAAAUAUAAUUUUUUAGGGUAGGGGGAAGGAAAUAUAUAUAUAUCUUAAAAAUUUUAAAUUAUAAAUUUUAUAUGUUAAAUCAAUCUAUAAAAAUUGCGCAUAAGUUAUAUAGGAUGAUAACGAAUUUCACAUUAUCAAUGGAAUAGACUUUUUUUUAAUUAAAAUGAAUAAAUAUGUUUAGAAUAAAAAUUUAUAGUAUAAAUUAUGUAUUAACUAGUUUUUGGAAACUAAAAAAAAUAUAGUUUUUGUUUUUUCCGUGUUUUUUUAACGCGUUUAUUUCUUUAGAAAAAAAAAAGCGUGUUAGAAAGCUAUAAAAUACGCUAACACGCUACCUGGGCAUUGGGUAAGUCAUGCUCAACUGAAACGGGAACUUCAUACGACUACCGGCGGCGUACUCCGGCGCCAGAGUACGUCGCGUAUGCCGCCGCCUCAGAGUACGAAUCAAAAUUCUGAACUCUAAGUUAAUUUUCUCCAUGUAUCUGCGUCCUUUUAAGAAAAAUCAAGAACUUAUGGAUCUUUUUGAAGUUACUCCCAUAUUCUUAAUGCAUAUUUACAAGAAAUAAUGAAAUUGUUAGUUUCAAGAAGUUGACAUUGCAAAUAUCAAGAAAUUCAAGAAAACUUUCUUUCUCCAAAAAAAAUUCUGUUGAUUUUUUCGUAGUGUGUGUUGAAGAUGUUCUAGAAUUUGUUUUUACUGUUUAGGGGAUGGGGGACAAUAAGAAAAUGCCCGAGGCUGUUUAUCUUGUAUGAUUUCAGAAGAGUUGUUGAGGAGUUGGUUUCAAACAGCCGCAUGUACCACCUAGGAAUUGAAUGUUGUGGAGUUGUUGUUGAAGUCUCCACUCACAACUUUUAAAGAUAGUGUAUCGAUGUUAUUGAUGCUGACAUCAUCUUUUCUAUUGUGUUAGAUGCCGAUGUACAUAAUUUCUUUGCCCAACAACUAUGAUGUACAUAACUUGGAAUGGUCGUUGUAGUCAUAGGAUUGCAUGCAUUACUCAACUGAUAGGCGGUUUGUGUUCAUUAGUGUCUUUUUAUAAAUGUUCUUAUAUUUAUUAUUUUAUGGCUUUACUUGUAAAUUGGAAAAACUGGUAUGUUGAUCACUACAUGUUUUGGUUAUUUGUUCUAGCUGAAGUUGAAUUGGAAUUUGUUCACAAGAAAAAUUUCUGUUUUUCAGAAAAAAUAGAGCCCUACCAAAAAAUUUAGGUUGAUCUUCAUUCUUCGGCUCUGGAGGUUGCAAAUGCAGCUUUGACCUAUCAAAUAUGCUAACACUGUUGAUCUUUGGCAUUAUUCUAGGGACUCAAGAGCUUUCGAGGAUACUUUUUUAUGUACCCUUUGCUUCAAAAGGUAUCAACUUACCUCCUUCAGGAAGUGGGAGCAAUGUAAGCAGAGGACUGUGUUUGGUUCCUCUUAGUUUUCGACUGCAGACCAUGCACUAGAUCAAAUUUGAGAAAUUUGCACUUUUUAGAGUUACUGAAAACUGAUUACAUUGUCUGAUUCUGUAGACAUUUUGCUAUGAACCGGAUAGGAAGCUAUGGACUUCAAUGCCAUUUUAUUGUUAAAAGUGCUGGUCAUCACUUGCUCGGAAGACGUAUUUUCAAGUCAAAAAUUCUAAAUUUGGUAGCAUGCGUCUUGGAUCAGGAAGACGUAUUUUCAAGUCAAAGAUUCUAAAUUUGGUAGUUGUUACUAAAACUCAAGGGAGGCCAAAUGAAUAUCGUAAGGUUUUGAAGGACGGCAUUUGAAGGAUGACAAGUGUUUGUACUUUGGAAUUGAUGAUUGUAGACAAAAUGUUGGUAUAGCAGUGUGUUAGAAUCCACAUUGUUUGGAGAACGAAAAUCCACAAACUCUGCGCACCCCCUUACAUCUAAUGCUUUACCUACAGAGGAUGAUUUACUGAAUAACAAAUUCAGUGCUUCAGCUAGAUCCAGUUAUAAAACAGACUGCCUGUUAGGUUCUGGAUUAGAGGAGUCUUAAACAAUUGUAGCUGGCAGAUCAACAGAGGAUGCCUCAUUUUGGGGAGUCUCUUGAACUUCAUAAGAUUCAAAUGUGAUGCAUGUGAGAAGGAAAGCAUUUAUGUGGAGCUGUUCUUUGCACAGAAGCCUGAUACGAUCAUCUUAUCGAUUUCUUUAAACAGAUUGCUAAAAAUAUGGUUCUGGCCUACCAUCUUUUAGUAGAGACUGUCUCCUCUGCCACCAUAUCCUGAGUAUGCUAUUGUUAAGUCUAACUCUGGGCAUUAAGUUAAUAUGUUUUGGUUUGGUUAAAGCAGGAUUUGAUUCUGAUUCACAAAGCUGCGAACAUCUGUCACACUUCUUGCAGUAACAUUCUCUAAUACUUGUCUUUUUCAUAUUAUACACUCAAGAAGUUCAGUACAUGUAAACCAUUUGCAAAUCAGUCUUAGAAGUGAAAGGUGUUGUAGUUAUUAAUACAGGAUUAGUUGCUCACCUACAUUCUCAAACCUUUUACCACACUUUAUAGCUUAUUCUCUUCAACAUUCAUAUGCCUCCCUCUGAAUGAUAUAUGCCUGUCUACAUGUGGAAAACAACUCCUGACGAGCACUUCUUCUCAGGUUUCUUGCUCCAUUCUUGAGGUAUCAAUAACAGUUUAUAUCAGUUAUGUGCUGCAUCUUGUUGAAAGCAAGAAGGAUUUUUGAGGGUUUAAGCCUUUCAAGUGUCAUUUGUGGCGCAUUGUCUCUUAAGAAAUGGAGAGUGUCAUAGGGUGCUUUAUCUUUUGUUCCAUCACAUUGUGAUCGUCUGGGAGUGUAUAUUCUUAUGUAGAAAGUGAGGCCCAUGACAAAAUGAACCAUGCUGCAGAUGAGUGAAUUCAUUCGUUUUGAAGAACUGCUUGAGUAGGUAAUGAUUGCCUAAUAACUCAUUGAUGUGUCAUUUCAAUGUAGUGUGUGUAACUUAGUGAAUUAUUAGGUCCUAUCUGGACAAAAGAGGACAACAACCUAUCUUGAUUUUGAGCAAGAUUCAGUACGUUUAUGGUCAUCUAAUUUGAAAUG